UGAGAGUUUGACAAAUGAAUAUCAGCAUCUAAUAAGUAAUCAUAACAUAUGCAAGUAGAGCUCUUGCAAAUGUCCCACUUCCAGAGGUAUAUUGGUAAAAAAUAAUAAAAUCUUAUGGUAUGUGUUAGUUUAAGUACAAGCUAGAUUUUGACCCGCGCAGGCGCGCGGAUGUACAUUUUGAAAAAUAUGUUGAUAUUUGUUUUUCAUGUAAUUAUUAAGGUUUUACAAAAUGAAUCCAAAGAACAGAACCGAUACCGAUCCGAAAAUAUAGUACCAAACCCGAACAUAAAUUGAUUAAAUAUUCGAAUUAUUCAAAAUUUUGUUAUUUAGAGAACCAAAUCUGAUCCGAACCAAAGUAUUCGGGUACCCGAAUUUAUCUAAAAAUAGAUUUAUCUACUUAUAUAUAUAUAUUAAUUAUUUUUAGAUUUAACGUAUAUAAAACAUUAAGAAUGAUACUUUUAAAUUGGUUUAAAUACUUGAAAAUAUAUAUAUAUAUAGUCAAAAGUAAAUAUCUGCAAUAGUUAAAGUAUACUCAAAUCACCAAAAAUACUUAAAAUAAUUAUUGAUUCCGUAUCCAAAAUUUUAAAUCAAACCAAUUGAUAUGUUAAGUUUAGGUAUUCUGACAUAUGUUAUUCAAAUUUAUAGGUAAUAUAUUAUUUUAUUUAUAGAUUUUGAGAAAUUUAAAAUAGAUAAUGAUUUAAAACUUUAAAAAUAAUUUAAAUGGGUUAUCCAAACGCGAACCAAACCCGCAAAGAUCCGAAUCAAACUCAAACCAAAAUUUAGAAACAUCCUAACAGGGCUUAAAUCUUUGACUCCGAAAACCCGAAACACAAACCGAUCAGAACCAAACCCGUAUGGGUGCCCGAAAUCUCAUCCCUAUUCAUUAUUAUAUAUCGUAUACUGUCAUCAUAUAAUUAAUUGUAUUUUAUACGUACCAUCAUAUAAGUAAUCAUAUAAUUAAUAGUAUUUUAUACGUGCCAUCAUAUAAAUAAUUACAUAUAUUAUAUUUAUAAAACUUAAUAGGAAAUAUAAAAACGAUAAUUUGAGUUGGUAUUUCAAAUUGGGCUUUGUAUUGUAUUUUUAUUAUAUAUAUUGACAACAUUUUUGUAUAAUGGUUAUUGAAAAAUAGUUUAGUAAAAAUCCAUUUUUGAAUAUAUGUAUUAGUUUUUAAUCAACUUUAAAUAUUUAUUUUGAUUUGAAAUAUGUGUAUAAAGUUUAAUUUUGUUUUAUGGUUAGUUUAGAAAAGAAAAAGUUUUAGGCGAUUAGAUUGACCCGUUUUCGUAUAUUUUAAAUCUCGCCCAGAUAGAUAGUUUUUUAUAAUAUGAUGGACUUUUAAUUUUUCUUAAAAACAUAAGCCCAAUACUUUUUUUUUCUUAAUACUACUAUCCUUGUUUCCAAACAAAAUUAAUUUUUUUUUAAAAGACUACAAUUUAUGUUUCCAAACACUCCAAAUUUUUUUAAUAGUCCUAUUCAAGUCUCCAAACACUCCAAUUUUGUACUUGAGUUUUAAUAAGAUAGAUAGAUGGAUAAUUAUGAUACAAUAGUAACAAAAAUAGGCGAGGAUAGUUAAUAAAAAUCAUUUAAGCCUAAUUUGAUAGGCAAACAGUUUUUUUUCCGGUGAAAGGAUUAGUUCCUUAGGAAUAGGUAUGUGGAAUAUUUGUUUUAAAUGUAAUUGGAAUUUUGGAUUAAAUCGACACAUUUCCAAUUUUUAUAGUAUAUAGAAAAAAAGAAUAUUCCAUGAAUUAGGCAAGUGCAGAUUUUUUUUUUUUAAGAUUGAUAUCGUAUUAGUUAAUGUGAUUGCUUAAAUAUAGGAGUUGCUAUUGAAUAUCAUUGAUUUUAGUAUUAUUCUUGCAUUAACGUUAUAUAUAUACCGGAAAUAUUUUAAAGCUUAGGAUACAUGCAUUGCGAUUAUUCUCGGUUUCGUUUGGUAGUAUUUUAUAGAAUACUGAGAUCAAAUUCCAUCACAGAAACAAACUUUAGACAUAAACUUUUACAAUUGAUUGAUUUAUUGGUGGUUAUUUAAACAGUAUUUAGAUGAAUCACAUUACUAACAUGAAAAUCCUUAGAAUCAAAGUAAUCAUACAUUGCACUAUCGUUUAAAAAUGUGGAUAAUAUUAUGCUUAUUUAUUUUGGUUGACAGGUUGGUUAUAUGUUAUAAUUAAAGAUUUAAUAAAAGUUAUAGGUCCAACUUAAACAAAGAUCAAGUUUGGUAAAAAGAGGUUUAAUUUUAUUAAGGUAAACGAAUUUGGAUAAAUUAGGAAAGUAGUUAAAUGUCAAAAAGGGUCAGUGGCAUUAUCUUGUAAUUAUUGAGGAAAACUCAGGGUUAAGUACUAUUUGUACUCCUGUUUUAAUAGUUUAGAUUUAGAUGUUACUACAUAGUUUUUCCUAAGUCGCCAGACAGGUCACCAAAGCUUAUAUUGCGAACCCCUCUGGCAAUUGCAUCUUGAAAAACGUCUGUAGAGAGAAGAUAUUUGUUUCAGAACGC
rnacentral:lncRNA from 1 species